rnacentral:rRNA from 1 species
UACGGGGGGGGCAAGCGUUGUCCGGAUUUACUGGGCGUAAAGAGCGCGCAGGCGGUCGAUUUAGUCGCGUGUGAAAGCCCCCGGCUCAACUGGGGAGGGUCACGCGAUACUGAUCGACUCGAAGGCAGGAGAGGGUAGUGGAAUUCCCGGUGUAGCAGUGAAAUGCGUAGAUAUGCGGAGGAACACCGAUGGCGAAGGCAAUCCCCUGGACCUGUACUGACGCUCAUGCACGAAAGCGUGGGGAGCAAACAGG